rnacentral:rRNA from 1 species
GUGUCAGCCGCCGCGGUAAUACGAAGGGUGCAAACGUUGCUCGGAAUCAUUGGGCGUAAAGCGCACGUAGGCGGCCUGUUAAGUCGGAUGUGAAAUCCCUCGGCUCAACCGAGGACGUGCAUUCGAAACUGGCAAGCUCGAGUAUGGAAGAGGGUCGCGGAAUUCCCGGUGUAGAGGUGAAAUUCGUAGAUAUCGGGAGGAACACCAGUGGCGAAGGCGGCGACCUGGGCCAAUACUGACGCUGAGGUGCGAAAGCGUGGGGAGCAAACAGGAUUAGAUACCCGCGUAGUCC